rnacentral:rRNA from 1 species
UACGUAGGGUGCAAGCGUUGUCCGGAAUUAUUGGGCGUAAAGAGCUCGUAGGCGGUUUGUUGCGUCGGCUGUGAAAUCCCGAGGCUCAACCUCGGGUCUGCAGUCGAUACGAGCAAACUAGAGUGUUGCAGGGGAGACUGGAAUUCCUGGUGUAGCGGUGAAAUGCGCAGAUAUCAGGAGGAACACCAGUGGCGAAAGCGGCUUCCUGGUCCAGCACCGACGUUCAGGCACGAAAGCGUGGGGAGCAAACAGG